rnacentral:rRNA from 1 species
AUUGAACGCUGGCGGCAGGCCUAACACAUGCAAGUCGAGCGGUAGCACAGAGAGCUUGCUCUCGGGUGACGAGCGGCGGACGGGUGAGUAAUGUCUGGGAAACUGCCUGAUGGAGGGGGAUAACUACUGGAAACGGUAGCUAAUACCGCAUAACGUCGCAAGACCAAAGUGGGGGACCUUCGGGCCUCAUGCCAUCAGAUGUGCCCAGAUGGGAUUAGCUAGUAGGUGGGGUAACGGCUCACCUAGGCGACGAUCCCUAGCUGGUCUGAGAGGAUGACCAGCCACACUGGAACUGAGACACGGUCCAGACUCCUACGGGAGGCAGCAGUGGGGAAUAUUGCACAAUGGGCGCAAGCCUGAUGCAGCCAUGCCGCGUGUGUGAAGAAGGCCUUCGGGUUGUAAAGCACUUUCAGCGGGGAGGAAGGCGUUAAGGUUAAUAACCUUUGGCGAUUGACGUUACCCGCAGAAGAAGCACCGGCUAACUCCGUGCCAGCAGCCGCGGUAAUACGGAGGGUGCAAGCGUUAAUCGGAAUUACUGGGCGUAAAGCGCACGCAGGCGGUCUGUCAAGUCGGAUGUGAAAUCCCCGGGCUCAACCUGGGAACUGCAUUCGAAACUGGCAGGCUAAAGUCUUGUAGAGGGGGGUAGAAUUCCAGGUGUAGCGGUGAAAUGCGUAGAGAUCUGGAGGAAUACCGGUGGCGAAGGCGGCCCCCUGGACAAAGACUGACGCUCAGGUGCGAAAGCGUGGGGAGCAAACAGGAUUAGAUACCCUGGUAGUCCACGCCGUAAACGAUGUCGAUUUGGAGGUUGUGCCCUUGAGGCGUGGCUUCCGGAGCUAACGCGUUAAAUCGACCGCCUGGGGAGUACGGCCGCAAGGUUAAAACUCAAAUGAAUUGACGGGGGCCCGCACAAGCGGUGGAGCAUGUGGUUUAAUUCGAUGCAACGCGAAGAACCUUACCUGGUCUUGACAUCCACAGAACUUUCCAGAGAUGGAUUGGUGCCUUCGGGAACUGUGAGACAGGUGCUGCAUGGCUGUCGUCAGCUCGUGUUGUGAAAUGUUGGGUUAAGUCCCGCAACGAGCGCAACCCUUAUCCUUUGUUGCCAGCGGUUAGGCCGGGAACUCAAAGGAGACUGCCAGUGAUAAACUGGAGGAAGGUGGGGAUGACGUCAAGUCAUCAUGGCCCUUACGACCAGGGCUACACACGUGCUACAAUGGCAUAUACAAAGAGAAGCGACCUCGCGAGAGCAAGCGGACCUCAUAAAGUAUGUCGUAGUCCGGAUUGGAGUCUGCAACUCGACUCCAUGAAGUCGGAAUCGCUAGUAAUCGUAGAUCAGAAUGCUACGGUGAAUACGUUCCCGGGCCUUGUACACACCGCCCGUCACACCAUGGGAGUGGGUUGCAAAAGAAGUAGGUAGCUUAACCUUCGGGAGGGCGCUUACCACUUUGUGAUUCAUGACUGGGGUG